rnacentral:lncRNA from 1 species
UGCACUCCAGCCUGGGCGACAGAGUAAGACUCCGUCUCAAAAGAAAAAAAAAGAAAAGCCCCUCUUUCCAGGUGGACUUGACUGAGGUGAAUGGAUAUGACAGUAGCUAAAAGGAGAGGCUGGAAGAGAUUAUAGAAUUUUGUGGAGAAAAAUUCGUUCUUUUCCUGAGGGAAGGCCAAAGCCUGCAGUCAUGAUGGAGUUGGAGAAAGGUGUGAAGGGCCAGGCCAGGAGCCCAGGGAGAGGAGGCCUGAGAGAGGAGCCCUGUGGAAUGAAGCCUGUGAACAGCCCAUUUUCACUUCUGAAGCAGUUGGUCCCCCACAAAAAGAUUAUUUUCUCCAAAGCAGAUGAAAAUCCCCUUUCCCUCCGCCUGCUCCUGCAGCCUGUGGUCAUGGAGGCAAAGAAAUCACCCCUUCCUCUGCCACUUACCAGCUGUGGUCCUGUGCAAAUGUCUUAGCUUCUCUGAGCCUCUGUUUCCUUUCUGUAGAGUGAAAAUAAUUCAUUAUUUGUGAGAUUAUGUGAGGAUUAAGUAAUACUGUAUGUGGAAGGGCUGAACACAGUGCUU